UGUGCCCAGAAAGCACGGUGGGUGGGAAGGGGGCUAAAAUGUGCACGGAAGUGCAGAUACACACACGAACACAUACCUACACAGCCUUCCAGCGGAUUCCCGUGCCCUCCCUUGGGUCCCUUCAAAACCAGUCGGAGGAAUAAGUCCCCCGCUACCCCAGACCCAGGGGAAGGACACAAAGCGCCUUCAGUUGGUGUUCUGAAGGUGUGGACAGAAACUUGGCCUGCAAGUCAGGAGCCCUGGCUUCUGGCCCUGGAUCUCCUUUGUGACCUUGGACAAGUCCCUUCCUUGCUCUGGGCCUUCGUGUCCUCACUAUACAAGCAGGCGCCUGUAGGUGGCGAUCUCAAUGUCCAGGCCCAGCUUGGAGUUCAUCACCUCCUGGUACUCCUUGAGCAGGCAGGCCAUGUC